AACGAACGCUGGCGGCAGGCUUAACACAUGCAAGUCGAACGCCCCGCAAGGGGAGUGGCAGACGGGUGAGUAACGCGUGGGAACAUACCCUUUUCUACGGAAUAGCUCUGGGAAACUGGAAUUAAUACCGUAUACGCCCUACGGGGGAAAGAUUUAUCGGGGAAGGAUUGGCCCGCGUUGGAUUAGCUAGUUGGUGGGGUAAAGGCCUACCAAGGCGACGAUCCAUAGCUGGUCUGAGAGGAUGAUCAGCCACAUUGGGACUGAGACACGGCCCAAACUCCUACGGGAGGCAGCAGUGGGGAAUAUUGGACGAUGGGCGCAAGCCCGAUCCAGCCAUGCCGCGUGAGUGAUGAAGGCCUUAGGGUUGUAAAGCUCUUUCACCGAUGAAGAUAAUGACGGUAGUCGGAGAAGAAGCCCCGGCUAACUUCGUG
rnacentral:rRNA from 1 species